GGCUCAAGCGUACCGCCGAAGUCGUGUCAUUGCGAUAUAUACCCCCAACGGGGAUCGUGAUGGGUAGGGGAGCGUCGUGUGCCGGGUGAAGCAGCACCGGAAGGUAGUUGUGGACGGUUCACGAGUGAGAAUGCAGGCAUGAGUAGCGAUUCACACGUGAGAAACGUGUGCGCCGAUUGACUAAGGGUUCCUGGGUCAAGCUGAUCUGCCCAGGGUAAGUCGGGACCUAAGGCGAGGCCGACAGGCGUAGUCGAUGGAUAACCGGUUGAUAGUUCCGGUACCCG
rnacentral:ncRNA from 1 species